AUGUUAUUUGGUGCAAAUUGCAAGCAGGAGGAGAAUUCAAGGUUUGGAAUGAACCUAAGAAAUAAGAAUUGCUUUGGAUACAAUCAGCCCGGGCAAUGGCAGAAUUGGUAUAGCAGAAGACGUGUUGUUGGUACUGAGAAGUCUUGGCGACGAGAUGGAGAUUGGCUGUGUCCAAAUACAAGAUGUGAGAAUGUAAAUUUUGCAUUCCGAGGUGUCUGUAAUCGCUGCCAGGCAGCACGUUCUACUAAUGUUAGUGCAAAGGGGACAACUAAAAAUGGUGGAAAAUCUCAGACUCUUACUGUCCAAAUGACUACUGAUGAGUUGAAGAAGUGGCUUCGGUUCAAGGAAGGAAUCAUUGAUGAAAGGUCAACAACCAAGAUAUUUGCUACAUCUGCUAACCCCUGUGGUAAUACUUCGAAAUUUGUGAAAGGAAGUUAUUUUGAGGCUGGUACACAGUGGUUAAUAGACUCUGGUGCGUCUAAACAUAUGGCCGGUUCGUAUAAGGAUUUCUGCAGUUAUACUCCUGAUUUUACAGGGCAAAAUGUGACUUGCUGA
rnacentral:rRNA from 1 species